rnacentral:tmRNA from 1 species
GGGGGCGACCGGCUUCGACGUGGGCUACGAACCUUCAGGGGCGUACCGAGGUGCAGGGAUCCUCGCUAAACUUUCUUGCAAACACAUAGUUGCCAACGACGACAACUACGCUCUGGCGGCUUAAUCCCGCCUAACCUCUGACCAGUUGGUGCCUGUGCCACUGAUUCAGGGGACGCGCUCACAGGAUCGCGGCCCAUCGUGCGACGGGGUGUUCCGCUAAGAGUUACCGUCUGCUGGCCGAGCGUCUUCCCUGCUCCUCGGGUAGCGUGAGGCGAGAAUCAAAGAGAGAGCUACGUACGUAGAUCCUGCAGUCUAGGGCUUGCGGACGCGGGUUCGAUUCCCGCCGCCUCCACCA